GUGAAGCGGCAAAAGCUCAAAUUUGAAAUCUGGCGCCUCGGUGUCCGAGUUGUAAUUUGAAGAUUGUAACCUUGGGGUUGGCUCUUGUCUAUGUUUCUUGGAACAGGACGUCACAGAGGGUGAGAAUCCCGUGCGAUGAGAUGCCCAAUUCUAUGUAAGGUGCUUUCGAAGAGUCGAGUUGUUUGGGAAUGCAGCUCUAAGUGGGUGGUAAAUUCCAUCUAAAGCUAAAUAUUGGCGAGAGACCGAUAGCGAACAAGUACAGUGAUGGAAAGAUGAAAAGAACUUUGAAAAGAGAGUGAAAAAGUACGUGAAAUUGUUGAAAGGGAAGGGUUUGAGAUCAGACUCGAUAUUUUGUGAGCCUUGCCUUCGUGGCGGGGUGACCCGCAGCUUAUCGGGCCAGCAUCGGUUUGGGCGGUAGGAUAAUGGCGUAGGAAUGUGACUUUACUUCGGUGAAGUGUUAUAGCCUGCGUUGAUGCUGCCUGCCUAGACCGAGGACUGCGAU
rnacentral:sRNA from 1 species